AACAAUACAAGGUGGAAAACACGACAAAAUAAAAAAGGAGACGAGUGAGGCGUAAGGCAAUGAUGCUCCUAUGCUCUUCAACGCUUCUUUUUUUUGUACGUUUUCUAUCUCCUUG
rnacentral:ribozyme from 1 species